UACGGGGGGGGGCAAGCGUUGUUCGGAAUUACUGGGCGUAAAGGGCUCGUAGGCGCCAACUAAGUCAGACGUGAAAUCCCUCGGCUUAACCGGGGAACUGCGUCUGAUACUGGUUGGCUUGAAUCCGGGAGAGGGAUGUGGAAUUCCAGGUGUAGCGGUGAAAUGCGUAGAUAUCUGGAGGAACACCGGUGGCGAAGGCGGCAUCCUGGACCGGUAUUGACGCUGAGGAGCGAAAGCCAGGGGAGCAAACGGG
rnacentral:rRNA from 1 species